rnacentral:rRNA from 1 species
GACGAACCGAGCGAACGUUGUUCGGAAUCACUGGGCUUAAAGGGCGCGUAGGCGGGCUGUCAAGUCUGGGGUGAAAUCCCGCGGCUCAACCGUGGAACUGCCUCAGAUACUGACGGCCUCGAGGGAGGUAGGGGCGAGCGGAACUGUGAGUGGAGCGGUGAAAUGCGUUGAUAUUCACAGGAACUCCGGUGGCGAAGGCGGCUCGCUGGGCCUUUUCUGACGCUGAUGCGCGAAAGCUAGGGGAGCAAACGGG